CUUGUGGUGGUAAUGAGGUUCAUGUGUGUUUUUGCAUUUGCAAAAUUGGUGAGAAUUUAUUUGAAGAUUUGGAAAAACAUAUUUUAGUGUUUCUUGUCAAAUAAACAAGAUGUUUGCAUUUAAAACAAACAUUUAAUGUGCUAAGUUUGAUAUGCUUGAAACUUUC